UCAUUAAAUCAGUUACAAUCUAUUGGAUAUUUAUAUCUACAUGGAUAACUGUGGUAAUUCUAGAGCUAAUACGUGCAAUAUGCCUUGACCUCACGGGAUAGGUGCACUUUAUUAGACCAAGACCAACGGGACCCUUCGGGGUUCCUUGCGAAUGGUAACUCUGGAUAACUAAGCUGAUCGUAUGGCCUCUGUGCCGGCGAUGAGUCCACAGAGUAACUGCCUUAUCAACUAGAUGGUAGGUUAAACGCCUACCAUGGUUGUUACGGGUAACGGGGAAUCAGGGUUCGAUUCCGGAGAGGGAGCCUGAGAAACGGCUACCACAUCCAAGGAAGGCAGCAGGCACGCAAAUUACCCACUCUUAGCUCGAGGAGGUAGGACGACCCGGUACGUGCCUAGGAGGCGGUGCCAGCAGCCGCGGUAAUUCCAGCUCCAAUAGCGUAUAUUAAAGUUGUUGCGGUUAAAAAGCUCGUAGUUGGAUCUCGACUCAUGUCAUGUGGUCCACCUUUCGGUGGUUACUGCUUGACUGAGUUACCUACGGAUUAGUCUUUUGAUUCUCUUAACCGAGUGUCUUAAGCGAUCCGUUCAUUUACUUUGAACAAAUUAGAGUGCUUCAAGCAGGCAUUCUGCCCGAAUAAUCUUGCAUGGAAUAAUAGAAUAGGACUUCGGUUCUAUUCUGUUGGUCUUCGGAUCCGAAGUAAUGAUUAAGAGGGACAGACGGGGGCAUUAGUAUUGCGGCGCUAGAGGUGAAAUUCUUGGACCGUCGCAAGACUAACAACAGCGAAAGCAUUUGCCAAGAAUGUUUUCAUUAAUCAAGAACGAAAGUUAGAGGUUCGAAGGCGAUCAGAUACCGCCCUAGUUCUAACCAUAAACGAUGCUAACCAGCGAUCAGCCUGAGUACUUUCAAGGACUCGGCUGGAAACUUUCCGGGAAACCAAAGUUUUUGGGUUCCGGGGGAAGUAUGGUUGCAAAACUGAAACUUAAAGGAAUUGACGGAAGGGCACCACCAGGAGUGGAGCCUGCGGCUUAAUUUGACUCAACACGGGGAAACUCACCCGGCCCGGACACUACGAGGAUUGACAGAUUGAGAGCUCUUUCUUGAUGCAGUGGGUGGUGGUGCAUGGCCGUUCUUAGUUGGUGGACCGAUUUGUCUGGUUAAUUCCGAUAACGAACGAGACUCUGACUUACUAAAUAGUACAUCAUCUCCUUCGGGCGAUGAUGAACUUCUUAGAGGGACAGGCGGCGUUUCAGCCGCACGAGAAAGAGCAAUAACAGGUCUGUGAUGCCCUUAGAUGUCCGGGGCCGCACGCGCGCUACACUGAAGAGUGCAGCGUGCGUGGGUUACCUGCUCUGAAAAGAGUGGGAAACCAUUGGAAAUCUCUUCGUACUUGGGAUAGGGCAUUGUAACUAUACCCUUGAACGAGGAAUUCCCAGUAAGCGUGAGUCAUCACCUAGCGUUGAUUACGUCCCUGCCCUUUGUACACACCGCCCGUCGCUACUACCGAUUGAAUGAUUUAGUGAGGUCUUCGGAUUAGAUAUUGGAGUUCUCCUGGAGAGCCCCAAUAUUUGAGAAGAUGACCAAACUUGAUCAUUU
rnacentral:rRNA from 1 species